CCUACGGGAGGCAGCAGUGGGGAAUUUUUCGCAAUGGGCGAAAACCUGACGCAGCAACGCCGCGUGAGUGAUGAAGGCCUUCGGGUGGUAAAGCUCUGUCAGGGGGGAAGAACCGCCAGGUGGUUAAUACCCGCUUGGUCUGACGGUACCCUCAAAGGAAGCACCGGCU
rnacentral:rRNA from 1 species